rnacentral:rRNA from 1 species
GACGAACGCUGGCGGCGUGCCUAAUACAUGCAAGUAGAACGCUGAAGAGAGGAGCUUGCUCUUCUUGGAUGAGUUGCGAACGGGUGAGUAACGCGUAGGUAACCUGCCUUGUAGCGGGGGAUAACUAUUGGAAACGAUAGCUAAUACCGCAUAACAAUGGAUGACACAUGUCAUUUAUUUGAAAGGGGCAAUUGCUCCACUACAAGAUGGACCUGCGUUGUAUUAGCUAGUAGGUGAGGUAAUGGCUCACCUAGGCGACGAUACAUAGCCGACCUGAGAGGGUGAUCGGCCACACUGGGACUGAGACACGGCCCAGACUCCUACGGGAGGCAGCAGUAGGGAAUUUUCGGCAAUGGGGGCAACCCUGACCGAGCAACGCCGCGUGAGUGAAGAAGGUUGUCGGAUCGUAAAGCCCUGUUGUAAGUCAAGAGCGGUUGUGAGAGUGGAAAGUUCACACUGUGACGGUAGCUUACCAGAAAGGGACGGCUAACUACGUG